rnacentral:rRNA from 1 species
UACGUAGGGUGCGAGCGUUAAUCGGAAUUACUGGGCGUAAAGCGUGCGCAGGCGGUUCGUUGUGUCGGCGGUGAAAGCCCCGGGCUUAACCUGGGAAUGGCCGUUGAAACUGGCGAACUGGAGUGUGGCAGAGGGGGGUGGAAUUCCGCGUGUAGCAGUGAAAUGCGUAGAGAUGUGGAGGAAUACCGAUGGCGAAGGCAGCCCCCUGGGAUGACACUGACGCUCAUGCACGAAAGCGUGGGGAGCAAACAGG